rnacentral:rRNA from 1 species
GGUUAAGCGACUAAGCGUACACGGUGGAUGCCCUGGCAGUCAGAGGCGAUGAAGGACGUGCUAAUCUGCGAUAAGCGUCGGUAAGGUGAUAUGAACCGUUAUAACCGGCGAUUUCCGAAUGGGGAAACCCAGUGUGUUUCGUCACACUAUCAUUAACUGAAUCCAUAGGUUAAUGAGGCGAACCGGGGGAACUGAAACAUCUAAGUACCCCGAGGAAAAGAAAUCAACCGAGAUUCCCCCAGUAGCGGCGAGCGAACGGGGAGCAGCCCAGAGCCUGAAUCAGUGUGUGUGUUAGUGGAAGCGUCUGGAAAGGCGCGCGAUACAGGGUGACAGCCCCGUACACAAAAAUGCACAUGCUGUGAGCUCGAUGAGUAGGGCGGGACACGUGGUAUCCUGUCUGAAUAUGGGGGGACCAUCCUCCAAGGCUAAAUACUCCUGACUGACCGAUAGUGAACCAGUACCGUGAGGGAAAGGCGAAAAGAACCCCGGCGAGGGGAGUGAAAAAGAACCUGAAACCGUGUACGUACAAGCAGUGGGAGCACAGAGCAAUCUGUGUGACUGCGUACCUUUUGUAUAAUGGGUCAGCGACUUAUAUUCUGUAGCAAGGUUAACCGAAUAGGGGAGCCGAAGGGAAACCGAGUCUUAACUGGGCGUUAAGUUGCAGGGUAUAGACCCGAAACCCGGUGAUCUAGCCAUGGGCAGGUUGAAGGUUGGGUAACACUAACUGGAGGACCGAACCGACUAAUGUUGAAAAAUUAGCGGAUGACUUGUGGCUGGGGGUGAAAGGCCAAUCAAACCGGGAGAUAGCUGGUUCUCCCCGAAAGCUAUUUAGGUAGCGCCUCGUGAAUUCAUCUCCGGGGGUAGAGCACUGUUUCGGCAAGGGGGUCAUCCCGACUUACCAACCCGAUGCAAACUGCGAAUACCGGAGAAUGUUAUCACGGGAGACACACGGCGGGUGCUAACGUCCGUCGUGAAGAGGGAAACAACCCAGACCGCCAGCUAAGGUCCCAAAGUCAUGGUUAAGUGGGAAACGAUGUGGGAAGGCCCAGACAGCCAGGAUGUUGGCUUAGAAGCAGCCAUCAUUUAAAGAAAGCGUAAUAGCUCACUGGUCGAGUCGGCCUGCGCGGAAGAUGUAACGGGGCUAAACCAUGCACCGAAGCUGCGGCAGCGACGCU